CACAGAGAACAGGGAGAGAGGAAGAAAGAACAGUUCAACAUGUUGUUGCUGGUCUAGGAUGGUCACAGAAGUCACCUGCAGCUGAAUGUGCUGCCAGACACUUCUGAAAUAGCUAAAAAAGCUGUGGAGCAGCUGUUACACAAGACAAUGCCCCGACUUCCCUCAGAACAACUCUGGAAAGCUACUGUCAUCUUAAGCACAGCUGUAGUGGGAUGUCUGCUACUAAAACUCCCUGGCCCCAGCAUACACAUACCUGGUCAAAUGCUGCCAAAGCAAAACUCAUGAACGUUUUACAACCUAACCCCAAAAAAAUAAUAGAGAGUAUAAUGUUUGUGUCUGUAGAGAGAAUGUACUUCAAGCUACUGCCAGCAGAGAGUCCCAUUGCUUUCAUAUUGAGAAGAAAAUA